rnacentral:tRNA from 1 species
UACUUUGGGGUGUGGAGGCACAAUAAAUUUUGGUUUUGUAGGAAAUAGUGUAAUUCUAUUCAUAGUAA